GUUGUUGUUUGAAAACAUGUGAAUCGCAGGGGAUGUGUGAAUAUGUUGUUUUGAUUCUGCUUUGGCGUUUACUUCAUAUUUCACCGUAUUGUCCGUUUCGGCCACGCAUCAGGGUCAAAUCUGGUGUGGUGGACAUUCAAUGCCUCUCCCAUCAACCAAGGUCUUUCUGGAAAGAGGUCUAGUCCCUUCCAACCUUGCACUGCCCUUAGAUGAAGGACAUUGAGGGGCCUGCUCACUGCCUGCUGAUGCCUGGUCCUGCCCAGCUGUUUAAUCUCUAAAGGUGACAAGUGUGUUUCACUGGUCUAAACCAUGCAGUGAAACAAAGAAACCAGGGGGUUGCAGGAGGGAGAAGAAAAAUAGCCAGGGUGAAAUGCUGGAGAAAAGGCAAGAGAAAUAAUUUGCCAAAAAGAUUGUUCCUUGAUUAAGUAAAACACCACUUUAAAGCAGGGUCUCUUCAC